rnacentral:rRNA from 1 species
GGCGUGUGACUGCGUACCUUUUGUAUAAUGGGUCAGCGACUUAUAUUCUGUAGCAAGGUUAACCGAAUAGGGGAGCCGAAGGGAAACCGAGUCUUAACUGGGCGUUAAGUUGCAGGGUAUAGACCCGAAACCCGGUGAUCUAGCCAUGGGCAGGUUGAAGGUUGGGUAACACUAACUGGAGGACCGAACCGACUAAUGUUGAAAAAUUAGCGGAUGACUUGUGGCUGGGGGUGAAAGGCCAAUCAAACCGGGAGAUAGCUGGUUCUCCCCGAAAGCUAUUUAGGUAGCGCCUCGUGAAUUCAUCUCCGGGGGUAGAGCACUGUUUCGGCAAGGGGGUCAUCCCGACUUACCAACCCGAUGCAAACUGCGAAUACCGGAGAAUGUUAUCACGGGAGACACACGGCGGGUGCUAACGUCCGUCGUGAAGAGGGAAACAACCCAGACCGCCAGCUAAGGUCCCAAAGUCAUGGUUAAGUGGGAAACGAUGUGGGAAGGCCCAGACAGCCAGGAUGUUGGCUUAGAAGCAGCCAUCAUUUAAAGAAAGCGUAAUAGCUCACUGGUCGAGUCGGCCUGCGCGGAAGAUGUAACGGGGCUAAACCAUGCACCGAAGCUGCGGCAGCGACGCUGAUGCGUUGUUGGGUAGGGGAGCGUUCUGUAAGCCUGCGAAGGU